rnacentral:misc_RNA from 1 species
CAACAAGCAAGAGGACGGGAGGAGCGCACAAUUUCCAAACCAGGUAACCACACGGUGUGAUCCAAGCGAUCAGUUUCAUCGGAUAAGAAACAACAUACUAUAUGUCUUGAUUUCAGCAUUUAUUGAAAGAGAAAGAUAAAAUGUGUUUGCAUAUUUGUGCGUGCGUGUACCAAAAUUUUACUAGACUUUAAACUGUUAUUCCAAUUCUGUCCAAGAGCAAUAAAGAAAAAAGGAAGGCCACAGGAGUAAACAAGAAUGAGAGCAUCAGAGAAUCUCAGCAUCUGUGGUUGCAUAAAACCAACAGUCUUCACAAAAUGUGCAGGAAUUACCUAGGAAAUAUAUGUUCUAUUGCUUAAAGUUCAGGUAAAUUAAUAAAACAGUAUCCUCCUUUUAAAAACAGAAUCUUCCUUUAUCUGCAAAACAUUGUUGCAGUAUCUUUCUAUACUAUUAUUACUUGCAAAUAUUUGAAGUAACCAACAAAUAAGCACCAAAAACAAAUGUACCUGAUGGUGUCUGCCAUGGAAUCUGGACCCUCCUGCACAAUUCUCCCAAAGGCUCCUUUGAAUCCAUGUUAAGCUUUGGAUCAAGGGGACCUUCAUGCUUAUCAGAAAUUUUUGAAGGAACCAUCACAGGUUUUUUAUGUUCUACAAUCUUUGGCUGAAGAGGAACUUUAGAAGCUGGGAACAAAUUACCGGAUGGAGUAUUUGAGGGUUUAAUAGAACUUUCUGUCUUCCUACUAUUAGUUCCAUUAGAUGAGGAACCAGUUUUUCCAUAGUUGCCCUGCAUGAAUAAAGCACGCAUUUUUGCCUUUUGGACAUCACCAGUAGACAUUGGGCGACUUUGACUGACAGAUACUGCUUUUGUGGUCAGGGGGCUUCUGCUAGCUGUUAUAUGGCCUGGCUGUUCCACAAGUUGAACUUUUCUGCGUUCUCUGGUAAGGGAUACACCUAGGACAUGCUUCCUACUUGAAUCAUCUGUUGAUGACGGCAACAACUUUAAUGUUAGCGAAGGCUCCAUUUUCCUAAACAGCAAAUGUAUGCUCAGUGACUCAAAUAACAAUAAAGGUCCAACAAGUUGAAUGUCAGUCAGACCAAAAGUAUAUAUCUAUAACUCGUAUUUUCUGAACUUUCAGAAAGAGUAAGACCAUCUUCAGGAUUACCAACAUUAGGCUGCCAUAAUUCAUUGCCCAUAAUUUCAUCAAUGCUCUGCUUCAGUAUCAUCUCCUGCGCAUCAAUAGAAGAUUUCACACCAUUCGGCUUUUUCAUAGCUUCUCUUGCAAAUAUUUUGCUCCAUCUUGACAAUAAAACUCUUGCCCUGUUUGAUAUGUCUGAUCUUAAAAUCAGAUAUAUGAGAUUCAAAAUUAUCACAAGGGGCAUGAAGGAAUACAACAAAAAUAAAAAAGUGCAUAUUGUAUAUCAUACAAAACAAAACUCUAGAGCACACAAAAUUAAAUGAAAAUGUUAAUAGUCACAUAUACAAACAACUGCCAUAAUAAUUUUAAAAAAAGGACAAUGCAGUCAUCAAAUUGGUGUUUCAAAACCUCAAAAGCGCCAGAAAUCAAGAAAGCCCUACCAUUCUUUUAUUUAUGAAAUUCAAACCAAGCCACAUGAUUUACGCGUGUCCUUUGUUACCCAAAAGAAAGAUAAACUGAAAUUCUCUUUUUAUUGAAAACAUGACUCAUUUAAGAAAAGACACUCAAACAGCAUAACCGUUCAAUGGUACCAAUUAUCCAUCUUGGAAUGAAACACAAUUGCCUGAUAUAAUGAAAGAUAUGAUAAUGAGAGAGAGAGGGAGUGCAAAAAAUCACAAAAGACAAAUCCUUGCACAAAAGUACACCUGAUGUCCUGUAAAACCGCAGUUUAUUAACACUGUGCAGAAUGGCGGACAUAUGUUCAGGAAGAGCUCUAUGCAAGGGUAGAUGACAAAGAACCUUGAGGGCGACAAGAAGAAUGCUUGUUUGUUCUUCAACAGCUGCUUGACUCAACCAUGUAGCCAAAAUCAUGACACCACCUUUAGUUAAAAACCAAUUUAGCACCGAGGGAUUUUGUAUUUGCAAGAUCCAUUCCAUCAGCUUCACUUGCCCCGAGAAUGUUUCUUCCUUUCUCAACCAAAUGAAAAUAUUCUCAACAAAAUGUUUGUCCGAGUCAUUUAAUCCAGGUAAUACGUCACCCUGUGUUGAGCAAGAUGGUGCUUCGUCAGCAUUGGAAGGACCAGCAGGGUAUAUGGGACUCAGAUCAGGACCAACAGAGUUUAAAGGAACAGGAUCAGGAUGGACAGAGUUUAAAGGAACAGGAUCAGGAUGGACAGAGUUUAAUGGAGCCAGAUCAAUAGGAAUCAUAGGAUCAGAGCUCGCUGAGACCCCAUCUUGUGGCUCUUUACAUGAAUUUGUUCUAGCAGCUUUCUCUCUUGAUAAAUGGACUAGUUUCCUCACUCUUGAACGCUGGCUAGCAAAGAAAUCUCGAACCUGCGUGACAGUUACGCCAAAUUGAGCACUUAUCUCACGAGAUUCCUUCUUGCUGAUUGCAUUUUUUAUGGAGAAAACUGCUUGCAUAUACUUUAUAGCCUUGGGAUUUAACAAAUCUCUAGGUCUUUUUCCGAUUUUUAUUGACAUAGCGCCAGCUGCCAUCUCUUGAGAUAGAGGAUUAACGCCAGUGAGUUUGCAUUGAUUGACGACGAUGCGUUGAAGUUGAUCGAUCUGACUGUGAAAAAGCUCCUUCUGCGAACCCAGAAACCUGUGAAACGACUCGACGGAGCUCCCAAUCUCUAUUUCUUCUAAAUUCUCCUUCAACGCCUCCAUUGUCGAAGUAGACGAUUGAAGUCUCGAAGUUGGAUAUGCAAGAACAACGCAUUACAGUACGGUGUAAAGAAUUGACAAUUUCAAACUGAAAUAAAUGUGUAAUAGAGAAAACAAAUGUUUGGAUUAGGGUUAGGGUUACGUGAUGAGAAUGGGACGGAUGGGGGAGAGAGGGUGCAAUUGAAGCACCAAAGCAGCAAACAAAAGCCCGAAUCGGCACGUGAGACGAUGAGAGGAGUAAAAAGGAAAAAGCCACGCGUGUACUAGUACUGGCGGG